CCUACGGGAGGCAGCAGUGGGGAAUAUUGGGCAAUGGAGGAAACUCUGACCCAGCAACGCCGCGUGAAUGAUGAAGGUCUUCGGAUUGUAAAGUUCUUUUCUAAGGGAAGAAGAAAGUGACGGUACCUUAGGAAUAAGCCUCUGCUAACUACGUGCCAGCAGCCGCGGUAAUACGCAGGAGGCGCGCGUUAUCCGGAGUGACUGGGCGUAAAGGGUGUGUAGGUGGUUUGGCAAGUUAGUAGCGUAACUCCAAGGCUCAACCUUGGAACUACUACUGAAACUGUAGGACUUGAGUGCAGGAGGGGCAACCGGAAUUCAUAGUGUAGCGGUGGAAUGCGUAGAUAUUAGGAAGAACACCAGUGGCGAAGGCGAGUGGCUGGACUGUAACUGACACUGAGGCACGAAAGCGUGGGGAGCAAACAGGAUUAGAUACCCGGGUAGUC
rnacentral:rRNA from 1 species